rnacentral:rRNA from 1 species
GGGGGCAUGGGGUCUAGGGUAGAAAGGGAUUAUACCGUGAAACUGCGAAUGGCUCAUUAAAUCAGUUAUCGUUUAUUUGAUAGUACCUUACUACUUGGAUAACCGUGGUAAUUCUAGAGCUAAUACAUGCUAAAAACCCCAACUUCGGGAGGGGUGUAUUUAUUAGAUAAAAAACCAACGCCCUUCGGGGCUCCUUGGUGAAUCAUAAUAACUUAACGGAUCGCAUGGCCUUGCGCCGGCGACGGUUCAUUCAAAUUUCUGCCCUAUCAACUUUCGAUUGUAGGGUAUUGGCCUACAAUGGUAUCAACGGGUAACGGGGAAUUAGGGUUCGAUUCCGGAGAGGGAGCCUGAGAAACGGCUACCACAUCCAAGGAAGGCAGCAGGCGCGCAAAUUACCCAAUCCCGACACGGGGAGGUAGUGACAAUAAAUACUGAUACAGGGCUCUUUUGGGUCUUGUAAUUGGAAUGAGUACAAUUUAAAUCCCUUAACGAGGAACAAUUGGAGGGCAAGUCUGGUGCCAGCAGCCGCGGUAAUUCCAGCUCCAAUAGCGUAUAUUAAAGUUGUUGCAGUUAAAAAGCUCGUAGUUGAACCUUGGGCCUGGCUGGCCGGUCCGCCUCACCGCGUGCACUGGUCCGGCCGGGCCUUUCCUUCUGGAGAGCCGCAUGCCCUUCACUGGGUGUGUCGGGGAACCAGGACUUUUACUUUGAAAAAAUUAGAGUGUUCAAAGCAGGCCUUUGCUCGAAUACAUUAGCAUGGAAUAAUAGAAUAGGACGUGCGGUUCUAUUUUGUUGGUUUCUAGGACCGCCGUAAUGAUUAAUAGGGAUAGUCGGGGGCAUCAGUAUUCAAUUGUCAGAGGUGAAAUUCUUGGAUUUAUUGAAGACUAACUACUGCGAAAGCAUUUGCCAAGGAUGUUUUCAUUAAUCAGUGAACGAAAGUUAGGGGAUCGAAGACGAUCAGAUACCGUCGUAGUCUUAACCCGUAAACUAUGCCGACUAGGGAUCGGGCGAUGUAUUAUUUUGACUCGCUCGGCACCUUACGAGAAAUCAAAGUUUUUGGGUUCUGGGGGGGAGUAUGGUCGCAGCUGAACUAGUAGUUUUUUUAAUUCGACAGAGAUU